rnacentral:rRNA from 1 species
CCUACGGGACGCAGCAGUGAGGAAUAUUGGUCAAUGGCCGAGAGGCUGAACCAGCCAAGUCGCGUGAGGGAUGACGGCCCUACGGGUUGUAAACCUCUUUUGUCGGGGAGCAAGACCCGCCUCGUGCAGGCGGAGCGAGAGUACCCGAAGAAAAAGCAUCGGCUAACUCCGUGCCAGCAGCCGCGGUAAUACGUAGGGGGCAAGCGUUAUCCGGAUUUACUGGGUGUAAAGGGAGCGUAGACGGCAGCGCCAGUCUGGAGUGAAAUGCCGGGGCUCAACCCCGGAACGGCUUUGGAAACUGUGCG